rnacentral:rRNA from 1 species
CCUACGGGAGGCAGCAGUGGGGAAUAUUGGACAAUGGGGGCAACCCUGAUCCAGCCAUGCCGCGUGUGUGAAGAAGGCCCUCGGGUUGUAAAGCACUUUCAGUGAGGAAGAACGCCUGGUGGUUAAUACCCAUCAGGAAAGACAUCACUCACAGAAGAAGCACCGGCUAACUCCGUGCCAGCAGCCGCGGUAAUACGGAGGGUGCGAGCGUUAAUCGGAAUUACUGGGCGAAAAGCGCGCGUAGGUGGCUUGAUAAGCCGGUUGUGAAAGCCCCGGGCUCAACCUGGGAACGGCAUCCGGAACUGUCAAGCUAGAGUGCAGGAGAGGAAGGUAGAAUUCCCGGUGUAGCGGUGAAAUGCGUAGAGAUCGGGAGGAAUACCAGUGGCGAAGGCGGCCUUCUGGACUGACACUGACACUGAGGUGCGAAAGCGUGGGUAGCAAACAGGAUUAGAUACCCUUGUAGUC